ACUGGUAGAAAUAUAAAGCUUUGUCGUUGACUGGUGGCAGUCUCUUUCGACAUUAUCAGCUUCAGCAAAGCAGCAGAAGAGAUCCGUCACUGUCUUCCUCCUCAAUUUUCUAUCUGCAAAUCCCCAAUUCAUUAUUGCAGCGAGAGACCCAUCUCUCUCUCUCUCUUUCUUGCCAUUUUCUGGGAUCUCGGUACCCUCCAAAACCUUCGCUGAAUUCCAAUUAGACCUGUUCAAAAGAGAUUGUCUUACACGUUUUCACUCAGAGUUCAAAAUUCCACCUUCCUCAAAACCCUUCAAAGAAGCUUUUCCCCUCAGGUCAAUGUAUUAGACAAAGCCUAUGUUUUCCUCUAUUCGUAACUCUAUAUAGAUCUGCCAUGGGGAUUUGCUUUUUUAUUAUACGAUUUUUGGAUUUCUAGAUAGGUUUAAACGAUGAGUAGCGGUGCAGGAUCAUCCCAUAAUCGAACCCCCAGAGAAUUAAUAUGCCACGGCGGUGCUGGUGCUGCUGCAGGUGCUAUUGCGGCUACUUUUGUUUGCCCAUUGGAUGUGAUCAAGACAAGGUUACAGGUUCAUGGCCUGCCCGCAACUCCCAAUUCAGGUCGCCCAGGUAGCAUCGUUGUCACAAGUCUCAAAAACAUAAUUAGAAACGAAGGUUUUAAGGGAUUGUAUCGAGGUCUCUCUCCAACAAUAAUAGCUCUACUUCCAAACUGGACUGUGUAUUUCAUAGUUUACGAACAACUCAAGGGCCUUCUCCUUUCACAUGGGGAUGGAAAUAGCCAACUCACAGUUGGUGCAAACAUGGUAGCUGCUGCAGGUGCUGGGGCUGCCACUGCCAUUGCUACAAAUCCAUUGUGGGUAGUGAAAACCAGACUCCAAACACAGGGAUUGAGACCAGAUGUGGUUCCCUAUAAAAGCAUACAUUCUGCCUUUAGAAGGAUCAUACACGAGGAAGGCAUGCGAGGGUUGUAUAGUGGCAUUCUGCCUUCUUUGGCUGGGAUAAGUCAUGUUGCAAUUCAGUUUCCGGCAUAUGAAAAGUUCAAGUAUUAUAUGGCUAAAAAGGAUAAUACAACUGUUGAUAAACUAAGUCCUGGGGAUGUUGCAAUCGCUGCUUCAUCAUCCAAAGUGCUUGCUUCCAUAAUGACUUAUCCUCAUGAGGUUGUGCGAUCAAGACUUCAAGAGCAAGGGCAAGUCAGAAAUUCUGAGGUGCAGUAUAGUGGGGUCAUUGAUUGUAUCAAGAAGGUGUUCCAAAAGGAAGGUUUUCCUGGAUUUUACCGUGGCUGUGCGACGAACUUAAUGAGAACAACUCCAUCUGCUGUGAUUACAUUUACCAGUUAUGAAAUGAUACAUAGGUUUUUAGACCGAGUCUUGCCUGCAGACAAGAAGCAUUCAGAAGAUCAACCAAAAUCAGGGUAUCCCCAGCAUCUGAGGGAAAAUCAAGGAAAUGGGAUGGGUAACAACAUUGUUUUGGGGCAAUCACAAACACAGCAAAAUAAUAGAACUACCUCUGCUCCUCUGGCAAGCAAAGAGCAGCUAACUCCAGCACACUGAUUGACUUGUUCCUUUGGGAACUUGCCGGGUAGUUAUUAUCCAUAGAUAUUGAAAUGGGUACUAAAACUUUUUGGUGAAGAAGAAGAAUGAAUUCUUUUUUUUUUUUUUGGUUUUAUAUUUUAUUUGGAAAGCCCAGCCAAAUGUAAUGUGCGGUAAUAAGAUGCGAAUUUUUUUUUCUUCUCUAAUUUGCUUUUAUUAAUAUUUUAUUGAAGAUGUACGAGGUAAAUGCAAUGGCGGAGUACUUCUAUCUCACAAUAACCUAUUAUUUUAGAAUUUUUUUUUUCAAAUAAUCUGUCACUUAUAAAAAUUUUUUCUAAAA